rnacentral:rRNA from 1 species
UACGAAGGGUGCAAGCGUUACUCGGAAUUACUGGGCGUAAAGCGUGCGUAGGUGGUUUGUUAAGUCUGUUGUGAAAGCCCCGGGCUCAACCUGGGAAUGGCAAUGGAUACUGGCAGGCUAGAGUGCGGUAGAGGGUAGUGGAAUUCCCGGUGUAGCGGUGAAAUGCGUAGAGAUCGGGAGGAACACCAGUGGCGAAGGCGAGUCUCUGGACAUUUCCUGACGCUGAGGCACGAAAGCCAGGGGAGCAAACGGG